rnacentral:rRNA from 1 species
GACGAACGCUGGCGGCGUGCUUAACACAUGCAAGUCGAACGGAGUGGCGAGCGGGUGAGUAACACGUGGGUGACCUGCCCUGCACUUCGGGAUAAGCACGGGGAACGGGGUCUAAUAACGGAUAGUGUGGGAUGGGCCCGCGGCCUAUCAGCUUGUUGGUGGGGUAAUGGCCUACCAAGGCGGCGACGGAUAGUCGGCCUGAGAGGGUGGACGGCCACAUGGGGACUGAGACACGGCCCAGUCUCCUACGUGGGGCAGCGGUGGUGAGUGUUGCUCAAUGGGCGGGAGCCUGAUGCAGCGACGCCGCGUGGGGGAUGACGGCCUUCGGGUUGUAAACUCCUUUCACCAUCGACGCGGUAGAUGGAGAAGAAGCACCGGCUAACUACGUGCCAGCAGCCGCGGUAAUUC